rnacentral:rRNA from 1 species
GACGAACGCUGGCGGCGUGCUUAACACAUGCAAGUCGAACGGAAAGGCCUCUUUCGGGGGGUACUCGAGUGGCGAACGGGUGAGUAACACGUGAGUAACCUGCCCUUGACUUUGGGAUAACUUCAGGAAACUGGGGCUAAUACCGGAUAGGAGCUCCUGCUGCAUGGGGGGGGGUGGAAAGUUUCGGCGGUUGGGGAUGGACUCGCGGCUUAUCAGCUUGUUGGUGGGGUAGUGGCUUACCAAGGCUUUGACGGGUAGCCGGCCUGAGAGGGUGACCGGCCACAUUGGGACUGAGAUACGGCCCAGACUCCUACGGGAGGCAGCAGUGGGGAAUAUUGCACAAUGGGUGGAAGCCUGAUGCAGCAACGCCGUGUGCGGGAUGACGGCCUUCGGGUUGUAAACCGCUUUCGCUCAUGACGAAGCUUUGUGUGACGGUAGUGGGUAAAGAAGCACCGGCUAACUACGUG